AAAAAGGGGAAGGGGAGAAAGACAAGAGAGUAUUUGAUGGUUGUUGACAUCACUCGUUCCGUGACGUCUUCAAGAAGGCAGAUUAAAAGAACGACGAAAAGUAAUCAAACCGACUCAUAAAAGAAACAACACACAAACAGAAACCAAAGCAGCGAUAUACAAGAAUCACCAACCAAAACCCACG